UGUUUCGUGUUUUGAUACUGUACCUUACUGCCAACUGUACGAAAUGGUUACGUCGUUGUUUUUCUUCCAACGAAUCAGAAUAGGUAAUAAAUGGCUGUGGGCUGAUAAAAGUAACAGUCAUAUAAAACUAGGGUCACUGGCCAAAUAACAAUGAAAGACGUUCAUUGUUAAUCACUACGCAAAAUAGAAUGCAUUCGUUUGUAAUCGGGAGUACUUCGCCUACGCUGGAAGCGACCGCAUGGUUCUGCAGAGUGCGUGUACAGAAAAGGGACUAAAAGCAGAAAUCAGAAGAAAACAUGGGAUUUGUAGAGGAUACGCUUAUAAUACUUGUAACUCAGAUAUUAUUCUUUGUUGGAGGAUGGGUGUUUUUUGUGAAGCAGCUUUUCCGUGACUAUGAAGUUCACCAUACCCUGGUGCAGCUUAUAUUUUCUGUUACGUUCUCCUUGUCAUGCACAAUGUUUGAGCUGAUAAUUUUUGAAAUUCUUGGUAUUCUGGACUCAAGCUCAAGAUACUUCCACUGGAAUGUUGGAUUGUAUCUGAUGUUGUUCAUGGUGAUAGUACUUAUACCAUUUUAUAUUGGCUACUUCAUUCUGAGUAAUAUUCGCUUUGUGAGACGACAACUUAUUCGACCACUUACUGUGCUGAUCUGGUUGGUUUACAUCUAUUUCUUCUGGAAGAUUGGGGAUCCAUUUCCAAUACUGAGUCCCAAACAAGGCAUACUGUCCAUUGAGCAGGGGAUCAGCAGAAUAGGAGUUAUUGGAGUCACUGUGAUGGCUCUUCUAUCAGGAUUUGGUGCUGUUAAUUACCCUUACACAUCAAUGGCUUGCUUCAUCAGGCCAGUUGAUCCAAAGAAUGUCCAGGCUGUGGAGAAACGACUGAUGCAAACAAUGGAUAUGAUACUAGUCAAGAAGAAGAGAAUAGCUCUUGUUAAGAGGGGUACACUAGCAAGUAGUGCAAGAAUGGGAUCAGGAAACACCAGCAUCUGGAGUAUGUUUAGGACUGUAACUAAGACCAUCAGCAGUAAUAGUACAGAAAAUGUGUCUCAGCUGAAACAAGAAAUAGCUGGACUGGAGGAAUUGAGCAGGCAGCUUUUUCUGGAAGCACAUGACCUGCAUAACAUGCAGGAACGAGCUGAGUGGUCCAAUACAUGGAAGGGGAAGUAUUUCAACUUCCUAGGGUACUUCUUCUCACUUUACUGUAUGUGGAAGAUAUUUAUAUCAACUAUCAACAUAGUUUUUGACAGAGUUGGAAAGAAAGAUCCAGUAACCAGAGGCAUUGAAAUUGCAGUACAUUGGGUCGGCAUUAAUAUUGAUGUGACUUUCUGGUCACAACAUAUUUCAUUCUUUCUUGUUGGCUGCAUUGUGGUCACUUCUAUUAGAGGUCUUCUUCUGACACUUACAAAGUUCUUUUAUGCUAUAUCCAGCAGCAAGUCCUCGAACAUAAUUGUUCUCAUUCUAGCUCAGAUAAUGGGCAUGUACUUUGUGUCAUCUGUGUUGCUGAUGCGGAUGAACAUGCCACCAGAGUACCGAAUCAUCAUUACACAAGUCCUGGGUGAACUACAGUUUAAUUUCUACCACCGAUGGUUUGAUGUCAUUUUUCUUGUUAGUGCUCUCUCAUCAAUUGGCUUCUUGUACCUUGCUCAUAAGCAAGCUGUGGGUGAUGGUGGCUAAAAGCUGCCAGCAUACGGCAGCAAUCGGAGCAUAAUGUGUCAGUCAAGAUAUUAAUAUCUCUAAGGAUGCUGUUUUAUUGAGCUGCUGCCUGCGGAGGACCUCAGCCAGAGCCUGCGUAUUGACACAACCACGGAUCCAUACCUGCCGGGGAGGGUUGUCAACACCUGAGUUGGAAUAAGACCAGGUGUUGUCUUCAUUUAUUGCUUGAAAGUCUUGACCAUUUCUUCAGACUCUUCUUUCGUAGAAGUCAGUAUGAUGGUAUGUUGGCAGUAUAUGAGCAAUUUGGCAGAACAUCACUAAUAAGGAAUCACAUUAUGCCUCUGAUGGACCACAUAAUAAUAAUGAAUUUGAUCCUGUAGACAUCAGAUUGCUGGUUAGUGGGUGAAUUUAUGGGAUGGGCCACCUGGUUGUGUCCUAUAGUGGGCACUCUGACACUUGAGGUGAUCAGUGUUA
rnacentral:misc_RNA from 1 species